CAGGCUGCAACCCGCCUGCAUGAAGUCGGAAUUGCUAGUAAUCGCGGAUCAGCAUGCCGCGGUGAAUACGUUCCCGGGCCUUGUACACACCGCCCGUCACACCAUGGGAGCCGGUAAUACCCGAAGUCAGUAGUCCAACCACGUGAGGACGCUGCCGAAGGUAGGAUUGGCGACUGGGGUGAAGUCGUAACAAGGUAAC
rnacentral:rRNA from 1 species